AUGGCCUCCACCGUCGCGCCCCUGAACGUCGACGUCGUUGCCGUGAACACCACGACGCAGAACAGCAAUGCGUCGACGGCCACAAAGGCGUUCAACCCGGUGGUGUGCUAUUCGCCCAUGAUGAUGACCACCAACGGCAUGUGGCAGGGCGACGGCGUGAACCCGCUCGAGUUCUCCCUCCCGCUCUUCAUCGUCCAGGUGGCCGUCAUCGUCAUCACCACCCGCCUCCUCGUCCUCCUCCUCCGGCCCUUCCGCCAGCCGCGCGUCAUCGCUGAGAUCCUCGCCGGCGUCGUGCUGGGCCCGUCCAUGAUCGGGCAGAGCGAGCUGUGGGCCAGCCUGGUGUUCCCCGUGCGCAGCCUGCUCACGCUCGAGACGGUGGCGCACCUGGGGCUGCUCUUCUUCCUCUUCCUCGUCGGCCUGGAGAUGGACGUCGACGUCAUCCGCCGGUCCGGGGAUAAGGCGGUGUUUGUCGCCAUGGCCGGCAUGGCGCUGCCCUUCUGCAUGGGCAUCGCCACCUCCUUCAUUUUCCGGCACCAGGUGUCCCGGAACGUGCACCAGACCUCCUUCCUGCUCUUCCUCGGCGUCGCCCUCUCCGUCACGGCCUUCCCCGUGCUCGCCCGCAUCCUCGCCGAGAUCAAGCUGCUCAACUCGGAGCUCGGCCGCACCGCCAUGUCCGCCGCCAUCGUCAACGACAUGUGCGCCUGGAUCCUGCUCGCGCUUGCCAUCUCCAUUUCGGAGGUGGACAGCACCGCGCUGUCCUCACUUUGGGUGCUCCUCGCCGGGGUCACCUUCGUGCUCUUCUGCUUCUACGCCGUGCGCCCCUUGAUGUGGCGGAUCAUCCGCAGCAUCCCCGAGGGCGACGACGUCAGCAACGCGCAGAUCACCCUCAUUCUCACGGGCGUCAUGAUCGCCGGCGCGUGUACCGACGCCAUCGGCAUCCACUCCGUCUUCGGCGCCUUCGUCUACGGGCUGGUCAUCCCAAGCGCACCGCUAGGCGUGACGCUGAUCGAGAAGCUCGAGGACUUCGUCACCGGCCUCCUCCUCCCGCUCUUCUUCGCCAUGAGCGGCCUCCGCACCAACGUGCGCAUGAUACGCGACCCCGUCACCGUCGGCCUGCUCGUGCUCGUGUUCGUCAUGGCCAGCUUCGCCAAGAUCAUGGGCACCAUCAUCAUCGCGGCGCUCUACGCCAUGCCAUUCCGCGAGGGCAUCGCCCUCGGCUUCCUCAUGAACACCAGGGGGCUGGUGGAGAUGAUCGUGCUCAACAUCGGGAGGGACAAGCAGGUGCUGGACGACGAGUCGUUCGCGGUGCUGGUGCUGGUGUCGGUGGCGAUGACGUCGCUGGUGACGCCGGUGGUGACGGGCGUGUACCGGCCGUCGCGGCGCCUCGUCGGCUACAAGCGGCGGAACCUGCAGCGCAUCCGGCACGACAGCGAGCUCCGCAUGCUGGCCUGCGUGCACACCACCCGCAACGUGCCGUCCGUGCUGUCGCUGCUUGAGCUCUCCAACCCGUCCAAGCGCUCCCCCAUCUUCAUCUACGCGCUCCACAUCAUCGAGCUCACCGGCCGGGCCUCCAACAUGCUCGCCGCCGCGGCUGCCUCCACCUCCAGCCGGACAAGCUCGUCCUCCGCCUUGCCCGCCACCACGGAGCACAUCUUCAACGCCUUUGAGAACUACGAGAGACUGACGGGAGGCGUGUCCAUCCAGACGCUGGCGGCGGUGUCGCCAUACCAGACCAUGCACGACGACGUGUCGGUGCUGGCCGAGGACAAACACGUGUCGCUCAUCGUGAUCCCUUUCCACAAGCAGCAGACGGUGGACGGCGGCAUGGAGCCCAUCAACCCCUCCAUUAAAUUAUUCAACGAGAGCCUCCUGGCAACCUCCCCAUGCUCGGUGGCCAUCCUCGUGGACCGCGGCCUGAGCGCCGCCGCGGCGCGCAUGGCGACGGAGCACCGCGUGGCGCUCUUCUUCUUCGGCGGGCCCGACGACCGCGAGGCGCUCGCGUACGCGUGGCGGAUGGUCGAGAACCCCGGUGUCUCCCUCACCAUCUUGCGGUUCCUCUCGCCUGACUACCGGGCGGCGGCCCGGUCCUUCUCCGAGGCCUCCUACCGGUCGGCGGCGUCGGGCGGCAUGGACCCGCGCGGGGCGCCGAUGAGCGCGAGCACGGAGGGCAAGAGCGAGCUGCAGAUGGACGAGGAGUACCUGGGCGAGUUCCGCGCGCGCAACCACGGCAACCCCACCAUCACGUACUUGGACAGGUCGGUGGCCAACAGCGAGGAGACGGUGGCCGCCAUCCGGGGCAUGGACAACAGCGCGCACGAGCUGUACAUCGUGGGGCGGCGCCCCGGCGAGGCCGGGUCGCCGAUGACGGCGGCGCUGGAGGACUGGAUGGAGUCGCCGGAGCUGGGGCCCAUCGGCGACAUGCUCGUGUCGUCCGACUUCUCCAUGGCGGUGUCGGUGCUGGUGGUGCAGCAGUACGUGGUGGUCGGCGCGCCCAUGCCCGCCCCCAGCAACGACCCGGUGCGCCAGUACGUGGGCAACGCCAACCAACGGUCCGGCGCGUACCGGGCGAACACGGCGUCGUCGGCGAGGGAUAGCAGAUGGUCUAAUGACACCGUAGGAUUCUGA
rnacentral:rRNA from 1 species